UUUAAACUUGUUUUCGUCUUGUGCUUAGUUCAGUUUAGUUUUAGCUUUGUUGAAAGACGGAGCUCUUCGUAAAAUAUUCAAAAUUAUAUAUUACAAAAAAUUUUGGAACAUUUCUCAAACAAAAUUUGGUGGAAAAAGCUUUUGCAAAAGUGAUGAAAAGUCAAAAUUUUUCCAACAGCUUCGCUACCUUCUUGAUUCGUCAGGUUCUCCCUUUUGACGUUACCAAAGGGCUUUUUUAGGGAGAAGUCAAUGUGCUUCUGGGAAUCCAUGCGCACCAAGGAUAAAGGAAUAUGGAUUAUGAAUUAGGGCAAAUACCAUAUUCUCCAAUGAUCUUCAACUCCUGAUCCAUAGCGGCAACUGGGAUUCACUUAGGUCUUCCAAAAGACCGAAGGAAUGCGGCUGUACACCAUGGUUUCAACAAUUCAAGCCAGCAGUUUUAGAUGAAGUGAACAAAAAGAAAGAAUGUUUUUAUAUAUUUUUUACAAUAAUAUAUAUUUUUUAAAAUUAUAA